AUACGUAGGUGACAAGCGUUAUCCGGAUUUACUGGGUGUAAAGGGCGUGUAGGCGGUUUAGCAAGUCAGAAGUGAGAUUCCCGGGCUUAACUUGGGCGCUGCUUCUGAAACUGCUUUACUUGAGUGCUGGAGAGGAUAGUGGAAUUCCUAGUGUAGCGGUAAAAUGCGCAGAUAUUAGGAGGAACACCGGUGGCGAAGGCGGCUAUCUGGACAGUAACUGACGCUGAGGCGCGAAAGCACGGGGAGCAAACAGGAUUAGAUACCCUGGUAGUCCGUGCCGUAAACGAUGAAUACUAGGUGUAGGGGGUAUCGACUCCCUCUGUGCCGCAGUUAACACAUUAAGUAUUCCACCUGGGGAGUACGGCCGCAAGGUUGAAACUCAAAUGAAUUGACGGGG
rnacentral:rRNA from 1 species